rnacentral:rRNA from 1 species
CUAAUACAUGCAGUCGAGCGAACAGAUAAGGAGCUUGCUCCUUUGACGUUAGCGGCGGACGGGUGAGUAACACGUGGGUAACCUACCUAUAAGACUGGGAUAACUUCGGGAAACCGGAGCUAAUACCGGAUAACAUUUGGAACCGCAUGGUUCUAAAGUGAAAGAUGGUUUUGCUAUCACUUAUAGAUGGACCCGCGCCGUAUUAGCUAGUUGGUAAGGUAACGGCUUACCAAGGCGACGAUACGUAGCCGACCUGAGAGGGUGAUCGGCCACACUGGAACUGAGACACGGUCCAGACUCCUACGGGAGGCAGCAGUAGGGAAUCUUCCGCAAUGGGCGAAAGCCUGACGGAGCAACGCCGCGUGAGUGAUGAAGGGUUUCGGCUCGUAAAACUCUGUUAUUAGGGAAGAACAAACGUGUAAGUAACUGUGCACGUCUUGACGGUACCUAAUCAGAAAGCCACGGCUAACUACGUGCCAGCAGCCGCGGUAAUACGUAGGUGGCAAGCGUUAUCCGGAAUUAUUGGGCGUAAAGCGCGCGUAGGCGGUUUCUUAAGUCUGAUGUGAAAGCCCACGGCUCAACCGUGGAGGGUCAUUGGAAACUGGGAAACUUGAGUGCAGAAGAGGAAAGUGGAAUUCCAUGUGUAGCGGUGAAAUGCGCAGAGAUAUGGAGGAACACCAGUGGCGAAGGCGACUUUCUGGUCUGUAACUGACGCUGAUGUGCGAAAGCGUGGGGAUCAAACAGGAUUAGAUACCCUGGUAGUCCACGCCGUAAACGAUGAGUGCUAAGUGUUAGGGGGUUUCCGCCCCUUAGUGCUGCAGCUAACGCAUUAAGCACUCCGCCUGGGGAGUACGACCGCAAGGUUGAAACUCAAAGGAAUUGACGGGGACCCGCACAAGCGGUGGAGCAUGUGGUUUAAUUCGAAGCAACGCGAAGAACCUUACCAAAUCUUGACAUCCUUUGAAAACUCUAGAGAUAGAGCCUUCCCCUUCGGGGGACAAAGUGACAGGUGGUGCAUGGUUGUCGUCAGCUCGUGUCGUGAGAUGUUGGGUUAAGUCCCGCAACGAGCGCAACCCUUAAGCUUAGUUGCCAUCAUUAAGUUGGGCACUCUAGGUUGACUGCCGGUGACAAACCGGAGGAAGGUGGGGAUGACGUCAAAUCAUCAUGCCCCUUAUGAUUUGGGCUACACACGUGCUACAAUGGACAAUACAAAGGGCAGCUAAACCGCGAGGUCAUGCAAAUCCCAUAAAGUUGUUCUCAGUUCGGAUUGUAGUCUGCAACUCGACUACAUGAAGCUGGAAUCGCUAGUAAUCGUAGAUCAGCAUGCUACGGUGAAUACGUUCCCGGGUCUUGUACACACCGCCCGUCACACCACGAGAGUUUGUAACACCCGAAGCCGGUGGAGUAACCAUUUAUGGAGCUAGCCGUCGAAGGGGGGACCAA